CUCGUAGGUGGUUUGUCGCGUCGUCUGUGAAAUUCCGGGGCUUAACUCCGGGCGUGCAGGCGAUACGGGCUUACUUGAGUGCUGUAGGGGAGGCUGGAAUUCCUGGUGUAGCGGUGAAAUGCGCAGAUAUCAGGAGGAACACCGAUGGCGAAGGCAGGUCUCUGGGCAGUAACUGACGCUGAGGAGCGAAAGCAUGGGUAGCCAACAGGAUUAGAUACCCUUGUA
rnacentral:rRNA from 1 species